CCCAUGAGAGUCACUUUAUUGUGAAAUUAAUAUCAUAAGGUAAUUUACAUUUCACAUAGUUCAGCUCUUGAAAGAAAUGUACAAACCAUGUUUCAUUAGUAUAAGGGACCACAUGAGCUACAAACUGAGGGCAAGACUGGCCAACUGGUUGAGGGGUGCUCAGCUUGUAAAAUGUGAGUGAAGAGUCUUUCAGUAUUCAUGUUAUCCUGAGUACUGUUUCAGUUCAAGAACCACAACACAUAAAACACUUCAUUACUUUUAUCUAGUGUAUUGUACACCUGUAGGGGUUUUUUGUUUACCUGAGGUUUCUGUUAUUUAGGUUGUAAAAGGAUCAGCAUCUUGUAAACAACAAGGUUGGAUUAUGGGAUUGAUAGAUGACAGUAGUCUGACCUUCCUCCCAAACAGGCUGUUAAAAUCUAUAUAUAAGGGGGCUAGGUUCUGAUAGGCAGAGAUCUCAUAGCUUCAAAGUUUUGGGAAAUUAAUAAUCUUUUCAACUUAGAAUUGUUUCAAAGCAACUGGAAUACAGAGAGGAAACUCCAUGGAGGCAUCUUUUGCUUUGAGCUUUUUAUACCAUUUGCUUAUGUACUUUGGAUGUGUUCACUUCAAAAUCACAGAGUACUUACUCCCAGUUAUUGCAUUUAACAUAUGAUGGGCAAAAAUCUUUUCUUAUGCUCCAAGUGCUGUGUAAGUGCAGGGUUUAUUUCACCUAUUUCCACAUGUCGUCUUGUCUGAUCAUCCCUGUGAAUCUUCUACAUAGCACAUUUAAAAGGUAACUCACUCAGGUGUCAACAAAGGGCUGGGAAAAUUCCUGUUAUCAAAUGGCAAGGCUGCAGAUGACCAUAAAAAGUCAGAAUCUUUCCACUAAAAGCAGCAGCAUCAAUCUUCCUUAUACUUUUGGGUGUUAACUUUUGGGGCAAAGAAGCUUUGCAUUUAGAAACACGUAACAUCAGCUCUGAGAAAGUUCACUGUAAUUUGCUAAAAUGAAGUAUAAAAGAAAAACUUAAUUCCAUUGUUUCAUUUAAUUUUAACAUUAAUUUCUGUGUUUCAGCAAAUGGGACUAAUUACUUUAAUCAGCAUUAAACUAUGAUUUCCAAAACCCUGAGAAGGUGGAAGGAAGGAAGUAAUAUUGAGGGAUGUUUUCAUGGAUCUUUGUUCCAAAAUACAAAUAUUACAUACUAAGCAUGGUCACAGUACAAACUGCAUCUCUGCCAUUGCCUCACUAAAUGAGGCAAUCUCUCUCUCUCUCUCAACACCCUCAUCUGCAAAAUUGU
rnacentral:lncRNA from 1 species